UAGACACUAAUGGAUUCACUUGGUUAAUUUACACACGUUACAUUCAAUGAUAAUCAACUGGAUUAGUCUCUCCGCAUUUAAUUACAAACAGGUUUUCUAAUUUAUGCGAUACAUACCAUUAAUCUGUUGCAUAGUGAAUUAGAUAAUUUGAUAGCAAUGCAAUGUUAUGUAUUUCGAAUGUGUUAGAAAAAAAGUCAUAGAGAAAACCACAGAAACUACUCUAGAUUACACAACGAUUUUGAUAAGUAUGAUAAAGAAGGAACGAUUGGAAUGAUGAGUUUGCAAAACAUUAGCCGAGAGGCUCAAACGUAAAUUGCCUAUGCAAUAUCAACACUAAACCGACUCAACUUCAGUUUUCUUUGAUUAUUUUCUUGCGUUAUACGCGUAUAUAUGCAAAUGUUUGCAUGACACAACAAUUUUACAUGCACUUCGCACAAAGUGUAUAAUUAGAUUCCACGGUGACAUAGCCAAGUAACUGUUUAAAAGCCAAGUUUCUUAUAACUCAAUGUGAUGAAAUCGAGCAGCAGAUCGUCAAUGUUCCCGAGAAGGUUGGAAAAAUCGAGUAGAAAUCGUACGUGUGCAAAUGACAGUUAUCGGAAUAGAAAGGUUCGUUUAACACUUACCUUCUUGAUGUGACAACUUCAUGAUCUGCCAUUACAUUCAACAAUACUGCCGUUCUUCCUUUACAAUUUGUCAUAAGCUUCGGAGAUGCGGUCGUUGUUCCUUCACGAUGGCCUCUUUGUUGACAAUGCGGAAAAACAGAGCGUCGACGUAGCUGAUUCUAUUAUCUAGCCGAAGUGUCGAUUCGAGUACGCUAUCUGAUGAAAAAUGGUAGCGAUGGUGGGAGAGUCAGCUGAUGUAUGAACUGGAGAACUUGCAAGUUCAACUUUGUUGAGAACUACGGUUAUAUGUAUAUUUAAUAGUAUUGUGAUUCCUAUGUUUUUCAACAUGUGCGUAUUACAUUUUUCGAUGUUAAACUGAUUCUUUUACAAUGCGUCAUUUAAAUGGACCUAACAAUGAUAUGAUGAAAAUCAAUAUAACCUAGUAUUUUUUUCUUUAUAUUAUUUAGGUUAUAUCACUUUCGAUAGAGUGCACAGUAUGUACAUUCAUUUAAAAUUUAACAUUUAAAUGGAUUGAAAGAAUAGAUUGAACUUGAAAAAUUUGAAUGUCUAGUAAUGAAAUUUUAAAUUCCAUUCGUCAUAGUUCGACUAAUCAAUAAAAAUAGUAAUAAUUUGUUAUUUCCUUAUGUAUAUAUUGAAUAAUGUUUCAUUGAAUUUUUGGGCGUUUGAAUGUAAAAACGUGUAUGAAAUAUUAUAAACAUUUCCCAUAUGUUCGUUGUAAUAAAAUCUGUCAUUUGCUAUUAUCAGAAAAUGUUACGGGUUAAAGGCCGUUGCAUUGUACCGACGGUGAGAGCAUAAACGUGAAAUAUAUGCUAAGUAUUUUUUGUAAAUAAUAAAUAGAUCAUUAAUAUUA